rnacentral:tmRNA from 1 species
GGGGGUGAUGGGCUUCGAUAGUAUUUUGAAAUUAAAUAUGCAAGCCGAGGACGUCUCGUCACCUCGCAAUUAAAUCCUCGAGACAAGGCAAAUAAUAACUGCCAAAACAAAUUUGAAUCCCGCUUUAGCUUUUGCUUAAGCGGCAUCGGCUGUCUGAUGUCUAAUACGGCAAUACCGGUGUCAACCCUUUAGGCUUUAACCCGUAGAAUUCUUCGCUCCGGGCGGAAAUUAUAGAAGAAACAGAGGGCUUCUUAUUUUGAUUGUUUUGAGAGAACCUUCUGAAAAAACAAAACAACCUAAGCUUGUAGUAAUAUUUAAUUUUUUAAAUUCUAGAUGCGAGUUCAACUCUCGCCACUUCCAUAA